GGAAGUAAAAGUCGUAAUAAGGUUUCCGUAGGUGAACCUGCGGAAGGAUCAUUAUUGUAUAACCGAGGUGCGAGGGCUGUCGCUGACCCGAAAGGUCGUGCACGCCCGAGUGCCCUCACACACAUCCAUCUCACCCCUAUGUGCACCACCGCGUGGGUCCCCCUUUGGCUUGUUCGGAGGGGGGCUUACGUUUUCACACAAACUUUGUAUGCAGUGUAGAAUGUAUUUUUUGUUUUUGCGAUCACGCAAUCAAUACAACUUUCAACAACGGAUCUCUUGGCUCUC
rnacentral:misc_RNA from 1 species